UACGUAGGGGGCAAGCGUUGUCCGGAUUUAUUGGGCGUAAAGAGCGUGUAGGCGGCCAGAUAGGUCAGCUGUGAAAACUCGAGGCUCAACCUCGAGACGUCGGUUGAAACCAUCUGGCUAGAGUCCGGAAGAGGAGAGUGGAAUUCCUGGUGUAGCGGUGAAAUGCGCAGAUAUCAGGAAGAACACCCGUGGCGAAGGCGGCUCUCUGGGACGGUACUGACGCUGAGACGCGAAAGCGUGGGGAGCAAACAGG
rnacentral:rRNA from 1 species